rnacentral:lncRNA from 1 species
AUAUGGGAUAUGGGAUUGCGGAAUGGAGGAUAUGGGAUAUGGGGUUGGGGAAUGGAGGGAUAUGGGGUCAGGGAUUGGGGAAUGGAGGAUAUGGGAUCAGGGAUUGGGGAAUGGAGGAUAUGGGAUUGGGGAAUGGAGGAUAUGGGGGAUGUGGGACUGGGGAAUGGAGGAUAUGGGAUACAGGACUGGGGAAUGGAGGGAUAUGGGAUUAGGGAAUACUGGGAUUUGGGGUCAGGGAUUUGGGGAAUGCAGGGAUAUGGGAUGUGGGAUUUGGGGAUGCUGGGAUAUGGGAUGUGGGGUCAGGGAUUUGGGAAUGCUGCGAUAUGGAAUAUGGGGAUGCUGGGAUAUGGGAUAUGGGAUUUGGGGAUGCUGGGAUAUGGGAUAUGGGAUUUGGGGUCAGGGAUUUGGGAAUGCUGGGGUUGGAUGAGCUCGUGCAGCGUCGGAAGUGAAAAUCUGGGAUUGGAUCCAUCACACCAAUGGAUCAAUCACCCCCAAAUCCAUCCCAAAAUCCCAUCCCUGUGGAUUUGGGAUAAAAAUCCCACUUGGCAUCCCAACAACACAACUCCAGUGGGGACUCUGCUCCUCUCCUGGACAACCCACACCAAAAACCAGGAAUUAGGGAUGGGAUGGAUCCCAGGAAGUUGAUGGAUCACCCCAAAUCCAUCCCUCAAAUCCUUUCCCUAAGAAUACGGGAAAAAUUCCCACUCUCCAUUCCCCCAACACAAUCCCAAGCCUGAAAUCUGCUCCUUUCCUGCCCCAAAAAUUCGGGAUUGGGGCCAGAGCGGCACCGUUGGAUCGGCCCCAAAUCCUCCAUCCCACCAAAACAACCCCUGGGAAUACAAAUCCCUCAAAACCACCCGGAAUGGGGCAGGAAUUCCCUCAGAGCCGGGAUUGGGACCCGCCGGGAAUCGCAGCCGGAGCCAUUCCGGGAUCCCUGCUCUGCUCAGCCCCCUCCCGAUGGGAUUUCCCGGGAAUUCACCGGCUUCCGGCCAGAAAUGGGGAUCCAGAGGGAUCCAGGGGGAUCCAGAGGGAUCCAGGUGUCCCACGCCUCAGGGAUGCAUCCCGAAAAUCCCAGCACUCGGGAAUUCACGGGAUCAGGGGCUGCUGGAUGGGAUCCUGACCCCAAUCCCAGGGGUUUUCCAUUGGGAUCCUGACCCCAAUCCCAGGGGUUUUCCAGUGGGAUCCUGACCC